rnacentral:rRNA from 1 species
UACGAAGGGGGCUAGCGUUGCUCGGAAUUACUGGGCGUAAAGCGCACGUAGGCGGUCUUUUAAGUCGGGGGUGAAAUCCUGGAGCUCAACUCCAGAACUGCCUUCGAUACUGGAAGACUUGAGUCCGGGAGAGGUGAGUGGAACUGGCGAGUGUAGAGGUGAAAUUCGUAGAUAUUCGCAAGAACACCAGUGGCGAAGGCGGCUCACUGGCCCGGUACUGACGCUGAGGUGCGAAAGCG